rnacentral:lncRNA from 1 species
GGGUACUAAGGAUCAGGAGCGAGCUUGAAUUUAUGUAAUAAUGCUUUACGCCUAAGAGCUCGAGCCACUUCACAAGCAGAGGACCUAGGUUUUCUCCUGUCUUGAGGAACGGAGGUCACUCCAGUAAGCGCAUCACUCCACUUUGGCUCGUAAUUUCAGCCUCCCCUAAAAUAGCAAAGGCGCAAAUUGGACCUUUCCCCCUCUCUUUGCCAAUUUCCAUUCUCCAGCGGAAGCGGGGGCAUUUUCUGAAAAGCUGCCAAGGAGGAAUGGGGCACUCUACCUCAUGGUGUUUCCCUUCUUAUUUGAGUUCUGCGGUUCAACACCUGACGUCCACCUGCAGAGAUGCCCAAGCAAAGUCAGACACCCCCCUUUCUCUCUCUUGCAUGCCGUGUUGGUACAAGAAGGGUGUGCGGCUUCUCUGGGACAGAAGAGAACCCAAACUCAGCUCUACCAUUAACUAGCUGUGGGAUCCUGGAGGAGUCGUUUACCCUGAUUCUCAGCUUCCACGUCUGUUGAAGGGGAGAUACUCAUGAAGAGGACAGGAUGGCUAGGUGAGCUUGCUUUACAACUUUUGGCUGGUUCUCACUAACUCCCUUCUUCUGACUUAGUUUCCCUUCUCUCCCAGCAUGCCGUUGCUCUGCUCAGCGAGUUAUUUCAGCCAUCUCAACAACUAAUGCUGAUGUGAUGUGAACAUUCCUGGUAACUAUCAGAUAGCAGGCGCUCAACAAACAUGAGUUCUUCCCUCCCUCCCCUCUGUUCUCAACAAAGCAGCUAGCGCUGGAUGUUCAACCGUGGCCCUUUGUUCUUGCUCUGCCCUUCGUUGCCAGGAUGAAAAUGAAGUGACAAAAGAGGAAGCGCUCAUGAUUUCAUAGUGCUGAUAAUGAUAACCCAGGUCCAAAUGGGCCCUGUGCAAAAGUGGAAAGUAAGAAGUUAAUGUCCAGUUGCCUUGCCUCACCCCACUCCCCUCCCCCACACCCCUGUGGCUCUACUUCCCUAUUGCCUCUGCUUGUGGGUUCAGUAUCCUCCUUUUCCCUUCUCUUGCCCUCUCAAAACCCACUCUCAGAUCCUUCAUUCAGACUACAGUACAGGUGAGUGAUAAUCCUCUUUGCUCCAUGUACAUUUGCACAUGGAUCAGAUUCUUCAGUUAAAAUGGAUUGUUCUCUGAGUGUAAAAUCUUGGGCAUCGAGCAGAGGGAGAAUAUUCUCCAUUUCAAAGGUCUUUUCUGGAGUUCUGGAAAUAAAGCCAUGUAAUUACAUGCCCA